rnacentral:misc_RNA from 1 species
GAUGAAGAACGUAGCGAAAUGCGAUAAGUAAUGUGAAUUGCAGAAUUCAGUGAAUCAUCGAAUCUUUGAACGCACCUUGCACCCUUUGGCAUUCCGAAGGGUAUGCUCGUUUGAGUGUCAUUGUACUCUCACUCUCCCGAUCUUUGGAUCGGGAGUGGUGGACUUGGGUGUUGCUGCUUUACCGUGGCUCACCUCAAAUGGAUUCAUGCAACUCCUGGUUGGACAUAGUACGGCGUGAUAAGUGUCUUCGCCGGCACCUCACUAGAGGGUGGCUGACCGGGAGCUCUGUGCUUCAAACCGUCUUCGGACAACAACUGACAACUUGACCUCAAAUCGAGUAGGACCACCCGCUGAACUUAAGCAUAUCAAUAAGCGGAGGA